rnacentral:rRNA from 1 species
UACGUAGGGGGCUAGCGUUGUCCGGAAUCAUUGGGCGUAAAGAGCGUGUAGGCGGUCCGGUAAGUCCGCUGUGAAAGUCGGGGGCUCAACCCUCGAAUGCCGGUGGAUACUGUCGGGCUAGAGUGCGGAAGAGGCGAGUGGAAUUCCUGGUGUAGCGGUGAAAUGCGCAGAUAUCAGGAGGAACACCGAUUGCGAAGGCAGGUCGCUGGGACGUUACUGACGCUGAGACGCGAAAGCGUGGGGAGCAAACAGG